rnacentral:rRNA from 1 species
CCCUUAGAUGUUCUGGGCCGCACGCGCGCUACACUGAUGCAUUCAACGAGUCUAAAACCUGCUCUGAUAGGGGUGGGUAAUCUUUUGAAUGUGCAUCGUGAUUGGGAUAGAUGAUUGCAAUUUUUAAUCUUCAACGAGGAAUGCCUAGUAAACGCAAGUCAUCAGCUUGCAUUGAUUACGUCCCUGCCCUUUGUACACACCGCCCGUCGCUCCUACCGAUUGAAUGAUCCGAUGAAUAUCAUGGAUUGAGGAUGCAAGUAGGUUCGCCUAUCUUCAUCUUCGAGAAGUGAAGUAAAUCUUAUCAUUUAGAGGAAGGAGAAGUCGUAACA